CGUUCUUUAUUCUUUACAGACAUACCUCCUUCUUGAAAGCUGUUUGCUCCAUGGAGUUUACCAUACUACUUUAGAGCCACAGUGGCUGCCUGAGGAUUGUGUUUAGUGUUUGCAAAAAUUCAUAUUAUUUCAAAACUCUUUCAAGAAAAAUGGAAACUGACAGCAGCAUAUCCAGGAGAGACGUACUUGCAAAGAUGAAAAAGAAUCUCAUAAAAAAAGAAACUCCACACACUUGAUAAGUCCCUAAUGAAGAGUCCCUCCCCAGCACCCUUGUAGGCCCCCUUCAGAUACUGGAAGGCUGCUGUGAGGUCUCCGUGCAGCUGUCUCUUCUUCAGGCUGAACAGCCCCAACUUUCUUAGCCUGUCUUCAUAUAGGAGAGGUACUGCCCUUGAGAGGUGCUGAAAGCCCCUUGGACUUGAAGAAUAUCCUGAAUUUCCACUGUCUUCAGUAGGAAAAGAAAAUACUCAGCACCAGGCUGAAAAGCAUGGAAGUACCCUUUCCACCUCUUUCCACUUCCCUGUCACUUACAAAUUCAAGGCUGAUGAUGUUUGGACUCGCAUAAAAUUUAGAAGUGAGUGGAAAAACACACCCAGCUGACCAAAAGGGAAAUUGCAUCCUCUACUUGCUACUGUCCUCCUCCCUGUGUUUACCUUCUUUCUGCAGCCUCAGUGCAGAAACUGAAGAAACUGCAGCCACAGCAUCCCACCAGAACACAAGUAGUCCUUGUGCAGAACCUGUCUGCAGCCCAUGAAGAGGAAGAUGAAGUCAGCGGCAACCUGGAUAUAAGUCAAGCACAGGGCAGGCAUGCCAAACAGAGUGGAAAUAAAUCAUGUUAAUGGAGCCUGCACUGGCAUUCCUGUUUGGGUGUCUUGGUGACCAUUACAUCUUACAAGUGGACUUAAACCAUCCUCAACUGAGAUAUCCUUCCAUUAUCUCUGCCUUCAUUGGGGUCUCUUCGUCUGUUGCUAAAAAGAUUUCAAAAGGGGCAAAAAUAGGAAAUGUACUAAAAUCCUCAUGUUUAACAUUGCCUAAAUAUGUAAGAAACCACUCCCUGGCAGCUGUGGCACAAUUGUCGGCCAAAUGAGUAAAAAAUGUGCAUCACAAUUUUUCUCUCUUUAGUCUGAGCAACCAAAUCUAUUCUGGAUUCUUCCAUGAUUUGUCACAAAUGGUAUGGCUGGCAUGCUCUGCAGUGAUAUGGUUGGUAUGGAAGGAAAGAGAAUGCUGUGCCUGUUUCUUGGUGGGAAAAAAAAAAAAAAAAGCCUUAAAAAAGCUCUGAGCACAGACUUGGACAUAGUUCAGUUUUCAUCAUGUUAACGAGGAACAGUAAUGUUAAAA